rnacentral:rRNA from 1 species
UACGGAGGGUGCGAGCGUUGUCCGGAAUCAUUGGGCGUAAAGAGCGUGUAGGCGGCCCGAUAAGUCCGCUGUGAAAGUCCAGGGCUCAACCCUGGAAAGCCGGUGGAUACUGCCGGGCUAGAGUCCGGAAGAGGCGAGUGGAAUUCCUGGUGUAGCGGUGGAAUGCGCAGAUAUCAGGAGGAACACCGAUGGCGAAGGCAGCUCGCUGGGACGGUACUGACGCUGAGGCGCGAAAGCGUGGGGAGCAAACAGG